CAUGGUGUUGCCUGGCAGCACUUCUUCACAUCUUCUUGCUGUAGUGUGUCAUCAGUCGCAGGCGAACGUCUGACCUCCUUCCAUCUGAUGGACCUCCCCUAUUAUUUCAAGGCCAAGGCACGUCAGAUGGGAUUACAUCCAAGCUCUUAUGUGGAAGCUGAAUUAGUGAGGAUGACUCCUGCUCCUGUCAUCUCUAAGCUCCUCACACAUCUUUACCUGCAGAUGAGGAAAAUCACUCCUGUAGAAUGCAGAUGUUCAGAGGGAGAUGGUGCCACAUCUGGUCCAGCUGAUGGAAGGUCUUGAAGUUCUCUGACUGGCCUGGACUGAAGAUGGUCCUCUCACUGGAUUUAAGGUUCAGAUGCUCAGUAACAAACUCCACCAAUGAACCAACAGGGAAGCUUUAGGUUUAUUAAAUGUUGCUAUGAAGGUAUCGCUGUUUUUCUUUGUGAAUGCAAUGUGCUCCAACUGAAACUUGAAUUAGAACUUAGAAGUAAAUCCUUCCAUCUGAAAGGAUUUAGUUGCAUUAAUAACCUCAUAACAUUUUAAUUUUUAUUCCAGUCUUGGUUGGAAAUAGAAUCUCUGUAUUGAUUCAGGUAAAAACUGAACUUCACAGCAUUUUGGAGCAAAACAACCAGAUGAAAACUGUGAUGGUGUUGGAUUGUCAGACCGUAAUGUUGCAGCUCAAAGCAGCUUUUCUAUCUCAGUUCAUUCUGACAUUCAGCUAUGAAUCAACACAGCAGAUGGUGAUCCAUGCUGUGGAAGUCUCACAUCUCCUGAUUUAAUGGAGCUGCUUUGCACUUUUUACACUGUUUAUUCACCAACACUUUAUUUAAUAAAAGUCCCAUCUAGUUUUUAUGAGGAAUGUGAUGUUUUAAUUUCUCUGUGAAUAACUGCAGUCUAAUGCAACAGCUGGAGUUGUAACAUCUGUCCUGAUGUUGAUCAUGAAGUAUUGAUCAGAAUACUUAUGGUCAGCAGUCAUCCCUGAAGUUUUACAUUAAAAUCUUUACUUGUGUUGUGAACUUUGGUAAGAAGCAGAAACUUUUGCGUUGCCAUGGAUACAUGAGUGUUAAGUUCUGUCCAUGUUUCCAUUUUGGGAAAUGCAGUCCAGUUCCAGAAUGUGGAGGAAUUUAGUCUCACAAUCACAGACAGCAAAUAUUAUCUGAAAGUCGGGUUAUUGUUGUUUAUCAGCACAAUACAAAAAGAUUAAUAUUAGAAAUAUUCCAGUUAAGACUCUAGAAUAUCAUGAUUUAUGUACAUUUCCUCAAUAAUAUGAAUGUUCAGGUUAAGAUUGUACAGUGAUAUUUAUUAUGCAAGUUUAGCUGAUUAAAGUUUACUCUGCACUAAAAUAUUAUUUAAAUUGACAUCAUUAUAAUAUUUAGGGUCAGACCUUACAGUAUUGAGAUUAAGAAAUCAAAUAUUCUAUAAAAUGUAAAUACACUGAACUCAUUUGGAUAUAUUUAAGUGAGACUCUACAAUAUUAUUUGACACAAAUCUAUCUAAAUCAAAAUUUUAAUAAUUUUCACGCCAAACAUUUACUGGACUGAUUUAAAUAUUAAAAUCACUCCUUUCUAAUCCUCUGCUGUACGUUCAAACCUGAGGCCUUAAAUAGAAACACACAAGUAUCUGUUUGAAGGAACUUCUGCAGAGUCCUGGUUCCAGAACAUGAUGAUAAAAUUAUGGACAAACUUUAACAAAAGCUGCCUGAGAGUUUACAGGUUUUUAUGUUAGAUUUCUUCAGUAAUUUAAUGAGUUAUCAGCAAAAAUCAAGUGUUCAUUUGAUGAACUUGAUUUCCUAAAACAUCCAGAAUUGGAGCUCAUAUCUUUGGCAACUGUAAAGUUUCUGCUCCUUCAAAGAUCACAACACAAUGAAUGAAUUCCUAAAACACUCUCAAUGCUGGAGAGUGUUUGUGAUGCUGAAGCAGUGACCAGUUUUUCUGUUUCUUCUCUGGAGAUGCACAAUGAGGGACAUCUGCAGAGACUGAGAAAGAGUCUCACCACAUCCUGACAUGAGGAAAAAGACUUUAUUGAAGACUACAAUGAGAAAAACUAUCAGACAGCAGACGGCUGCAUUCAAGUCUGUAGCUGCUGAAUUCAUGGAUGAAUCAUCUGGCACUAGAGAGGAAGACCAUCAGACAUCCACAUCAGCUGAUGGAGGUCCAAGAGUGUCAUCAAACAAACAACCUACAGAGUGAAGACCUCAAAUCUGAUUGGACGGCCUCCUAUUCAGCCACAUACUGUUAGAUUGUUCCAGAUAAGACAAGUACAAGAUACUUCAGAGCCGUUCUACCACGAGCCUGACAGGAAGAACUCCAACAGCUACUGAAUGUUCCUGUGGUUCCCUCAAGGCUACAGAAGGAGCCCUACGAGGACGAGCCGGUCCACCUGAUGCCGGCCAAUCGCUGCGGUUCAAAGCCAACACCGACUACGUGGACUUCUACUGGACCACACGGAGGCCUUCAAACUGGACCAACAAGUUCACCGACUCGUGGGUCUGAGGACGCUGCCGAGCCUCGGCCCAGCCGGCCUCCUGUCUGUGGGUGUUUGAGUGCUGAGAGGUUUGAGGAUGCAUGUGAAC
ensembl:lncRNA